GAUGAACGCUGGCGGCGUGCCUAAUACAUGCAAGUCGAGCGAACAGACGAGGAGCUUGCUCCUCUGACGUUAGCGGCGGACGGGUGAGUAACACGUGGAUAACCUACCUAUAAGACUGGGAUAACUUCGGGAAACCGAAGCUAAUACCGGAUAAUAUAUUGAACCGCAUGGUUCAAUAGUGAAAGACGGUUUUGCUGUCACUUAUAGAUGGAUCCGCGCCGCAUUAGCUAGUUGGUAAGGUAACGGCUUACCAAGGCAACGAUGCGUAGCCGACCUGAGAGGGUGAUCGGCCACACUGGAACUGAGACACGGUCCAGACUCCUACGGGAGGCAGCAGUAGGGAAUCUUCCGCAAAGGGCGAAAGCUUGACGGAGCAACGCCGCGUGAGUGAUGAAGGUCUUCGGAUCGUAAAACUCUGUUAUUAGGGAAGAACAAAUGUGUAAGUAACUAUGCACGUCUUGACGGUACCUAAUCAGAAAGCCACGGCUAACUACGUG
rnacentral:rRNA from 1 species